ensembl:lncRNA
CACUCGUCCCUCUCUCUCUCUCUCCCUCGCUCUCUCGCGCGCUCUCUCUCUCGUCCCUCUCGCUCUCUCGUCCCUCUCUCUAUCUCUCUCUCCCUCUCUCUCUCUCUCUCGUCCCUCUCUCUCUCCCUCUCUCUCUCUCGCGCGCUCUCUCUCUCGUCCCUCUCUCUUUCUCGUCCCUCUCUCUCUCUCUCUCUCCCUCUCCCUCUCUCUCUCUCUCUCUCUCUCUCUCUCUCUCUCUCUCUCUCUCUCUCUCUCUCUCUCUCAGUCAGGGCUCGUCGCUCGAGCGGCGCUUUUCCACGCGAGCAGCGGCAGUGUUAGCAGAGGCGCUCCGAUCUGCAGGAACUUUCCGCUCGAGCCGCUCCUCCUGUUCAAUCCCACAGCCUCUAAAAAACCACACACUGCCCCCUCUCCUCCACCUCCACCCCCUCAAACCAUCCUCCGCUCCCUCCUCCUCGCGCUCCACUCGGACCGUUCGAGAGGACCGGAGCCGCCUGGAUGCUUCCGCGCGGUAUGGAAAUUUCCGACCUCGGUUAAGGAUAUUUUCUGGCGCGAACCCGAACGAAGAAGGCGUCGAGGGAGAGAAACGGGGCUUGGAAGGAGGACAGUUACCCCCUCUCCACCUCCUCCAUCUCUCCCCUCCACCUCCUCUCCUCCACCUCCUCCUCCUCUUCUUCUUCGUCCUCUUCCUCCUCCUCCUCCUCUUCCUCCUCUAUCCGGACCAGUCCUCCGCUCGUUCGCUUCAGGAUUUAAAGCCUCCAUUCCUCUUCUGCUGGGAGACCCCCGGGCUUUUUUUGGGCUUUGGGCUUUAAACCGCCCCCCUCCCGCGGGAAGACAUGAAAGUUUCCCCGGCGCUCGUGCUCCUGCUGGCCGUUUGGAGCGCGCGGUGGCAGCGCGCGCUGCCCGAUUCCAUUAUCCACAUCGGGGCCAUAUUUGAUGAGUCUGCCAAAAAGGAUGACGAGGUGUUCCGCAUGGCAGUGGCGGACCUCAACCUCAACAAUGAAAUCCUGGAGACGGAGAAGAUCACCAUCUCAGUGGAGUUUGUCGAUGGGAACAAUCCUUUCCAGGCUGUGCAAGAAGGUAGGAUUCUACAUUUUAACACAAAUGUGUCCUUUCACCAGUCAUGCACUUGAAAUUUGUGAAACCUAUGC